UCCCUGGCAGUCUAAUGGUUAGGACUUGGCACUGUCAAUGCCAGGGCCAAGGUUCAGUUCCUGGUCGGGGAA
rnacentral:tRNA from 1 species